rnacentral:tRNA from 1 species
GGAGGGGUCGCAUAGUGGUCGAGUGCUAAAGUUUACUAAACUUUCGUAGGGUAACACCUACCAAGGGUUCGAAUCCCUUUCCCUCCGCCU